rnacentral:rRNA from 1 species
GACAGAGGGUGCAAACGUUGUUCGGAAUUACUGGGCGUAAAGAGCGUGUAGGCGGCCAUACAGGUCCGUUGUGAAAACUGGAGGCUUAACCUCCAGACGUCGAUGGAAACCGUAUGGCUAGAGUCCGGAAGAGGAGAGUGGAAUUCCUGGUGUAGCGGUGAAAUGCGCAGAUAUCAGGAAGAACACCCGUGGCGAAGGCGGCUCUCUGGGACGGUACUGACGCUGAGACGCGAAAGCGUGGGGAGCGAACAGG